AUGUGGCGUCAUUAUAACUACGAGCGAAUGAGAUGCGGUGCUGAUUUCUACCUGCUUCAGUCCAACUCCACUUAUGUGAACAGCUGGUCUGCUAUCCAGAGUCUGGUCAUCAUCACAGCUGGAUACCUGCAGCUCCACUGCCUCAAGAGACUCUUCAACACCACACCAGCAGAGGGACACAAACCCCGCUCUGGUCCCACAGUGAAGCCCUCAGUGUCUCUGCUGCCGCCCUCUUCUCUGCAGAUCUCUGGAGACUCAGCCGCACUGCUCUGCCUGCUCAGCUCUUACUCUCCACAGGGGGCGCUGGUGAGCUGGACACUGGACGGCUCAGAGGUCACCGAGGGGGUUGUGACCAGCGCAGAGAGCGAGCAGGACGGCCGCUACAGCCGCAGUAGUGUCCUGACCCUCAGCAAAGCACGCUGGGAAGCGGGAGAGCAGUACGUCUGCAGAGUAACACAUGAUGGAGCUCCUCAUGAGGCCUCGUUCCACAAGAGUCGCUGUUAGUCGCUCGCAGUGCUGAUGUUUCUCCAGUGAGCGCUGCUCUCUCCUGAAGAUGAGCGUA